GACGAACGCUGGCGGCGUGCUUAACACAUGCAAGUCGAACGGAAAGGCCCUGCUUUUGUGGGGUGCUCGAGUGGCGAACGGGUGAGUAACACGUGAGUAACCUGCCCUUGACUUUGGGAUAACUUCAGGAAACUGGGGCUAAUACCGGAUAGGAGCUCCUGCUGCAUGGUGGGGGUUGGAAAGUUUCGGCGGUUGGGGAUGGACUCGCGGCUUAUCAGCUUGUUGGUGGGGUAGUGGCUUACCAAGGCUUUGACGGGUAGCCGGCCUGAGAGGGUGAACGGCCACAUUGGGACUGAGAGACGGCCCAGACUCCUACGGGAGGCAGCAGUGGGGAAUAUUGCACAAUGGGCGGAAGCCUGAUGCAGAAACGCCGCGUGCGGGAUGACGGCCUUCGGGUUGUAAACCGCUUUCGCCUGUGACGAAGCGUGAGUGACGGUAAUGGGUAAAGAAGCACCGGCUAACUACGUG
rnacentral:rRNA from 1 species